AAGAAUUUAAGUUAAAAAAACUAAUAGUCUUCAAAACUAACAAUAUUUGUAUUAAUCAUUUAAUUCUUA
rnacentral:tRNA from 1 species